UUUAGGUAAAUUACAUGGACAUCCUUUAACGUUUUAAAAAUGAUAUCUCUGCCCAUAUAGUUACUUUAAAUUGCAUUAACGUAAUUUUAUUUUGGGGGAUUUUAUUAUAGGUCACAAAAUAUUAUGAAUAUUAGAAUUGAGUCAGUCAAUAUUCGCGCUUUUUUAUUAGGGUCUAAAGAGAAAUAUAAAGAAGGGGGAAUUCACCUUAGUUGCAAGGGCAAAUGUACACUGAGAUCAAGGUGAUCCCAAAACCACCCAGAGGCCGGGAAACACACAUGUAAAGUUUUUGUAGGACACUCCGAAUAUUUGGUAUGGAUUCCUUUUGUGUUCACUAAGUGAUUUAUAUAAUGUUCAUUAAGCAUAUUUCGACAUCACUCCAUAAAAAGCUCUUGAUAACACUUAUCAUAUUGCUUCGGUAAUGUCAAUAUUUGUUGACAUAUGCAUAACAUGGUUCGACUUACAACAACAAGACCACCAAGCAUUCGAUGAAAUACCUAAAUUAAUAAACUGAAUUUUUUGCGAGCUUUGUGCUCUAUUUCUAUCUAAAAAAUUUGAACUUUAACAUUAGGCCUCCCAAAGGUGGAAUCCUAGAUUUGUCACUCCUUAGUUGGAGAGGAAAUUGUUUUUAUUAACCUUAGUUGUAUAGGAUAAUUGUUUUUAUUAACCUUAGUUGUAGAGGAUAAUUGUUUUUAUUAGCCUAUACUAGAAAAUAAAAGAGAGUUUUAACGAAACACUCUCGGUACAGUCCACUUUUAAUGAAAAACCUCAUUUUUACCUUUCUCUGAUACUAUUCACUACACCUUUAUUUAUCAUUUUUCAUUAAAACUAUAGUUUUUUAAAACUUUUUUGUUAAUUUUCCUAAAAUAAAAUGAUCAUUCACUUAUACUGAAAUAUAAAAAUAUUUAUUGACUUAAAUCAAAUUUCUCAUUUUUUUGGUAUGAACUGGUAUGUUGCAUGGACAUGGGACGACAAGGAUACGACAACUAAAAUAAUAUAUAAACUAUAUAUAUAUUCUUUCAUAUCAUCAAAUGGAAAUUGAAAUAAGAUGUUAUGUUUGGAGGAGUGAUUUCCAAGUCAUAAAGAAUUUAGAUAAGUGACGAAGAAAUACAUUACAAAGUGGCAUUAAAAUGCACCACAUACUUAUUGCAAAAACAUGCAUUAGGGUUUUGUAAAUGACUUCGUCCAAAACUUAUUAUUUGCAAAUAUAUCUCGCAUGUCUUUGCAAUGCUUAUGACGUGCCUUUUAGUCUUCUAUAUCUAACAUAGUUACAUUUUGUAGUUUAUUUCUUACAAUUUGAAGACAUCAAUCCCUUUGGACUUGGAAGUCCCCCUCCCAAACAAAGCCUAAAGCAUGCCCAUUCCAUUAUAAGUUCAUGCUUUCAUCGUGAAACAAAAUAGAAAACCUUGAAUUUAGAAAUUACAAUCCAAAUUCUUAAUUUUCAAAUAUACCCCCAAAAGUUUCGAGGGCCAAAAAAAGAAGUCAACAGAACAAAAAUAGUCAAUAGAACCAAAAAAAAAAAGUUGACGAUGGUUACGAUACCCUAUUAUGGAUUUUUUUUUUUUUUUUGAAAAGGGGGACAAUUGGUGGCAAAUCACUGUUAUUCAUCUUUUUCAGGGGCUAGGAAGACUCACAGAUGCAUUUUAACCUUCUCCUGAUCACAAGUCUAGCUUCCA
rnacentral:lncRNA from 1 species